CUAGCUGUAAACGAUGGAUACUAGGCGUUGAGAGUAUCGACCCUCUCAGUGUCGUAGCUAACGCGUUAAGUAUCCCGCCUGGGGAGUACGCGCGCAAGCGUGAAACCCAAAGGAAUUGACGGGGGCCCGCACAAGCGGUGGAGUAUGUGGUUUAAUUCGAUGCAACGCGAAGAACCUUACCAGGGCUUGACAUGUCCGGAACCCUGCCCAAAGGCGGGGGUGCCUACGGGAACCGGAACACAGGUGGUGC
rnacentral:rRNA from 1 species